CCUACGGGGAGCAGCAGUGGGGAAUAUUGCACAAUGGGGGAAACCCUGAUGCAGCGACGCCGCGUGAGUGAAGAAGUAUCUCGGUACGUAAAGCUCUAUCAGCAGGAAAGAAAAUGACGGUACCUGACUAAGAAGCCCCGGCUAACUACGUGCCAGCAGCCGCGGUAAUACGUAGGGGGCAAGCGUUAUCCGGAUUUACUGGGUGUAAAGGGAGCGUAGACGGCGCUGCAAGUCCGGAGUGAAAGCCCAUGGCUUAACCAUGGUACUGCUCUGGAAACUGUAGAGCUUGAGUGCGGGAGGGGCAGGCGGAAUUCGUAGUGUAGGGGUGAAAUGCGGAGAUAUGAGGAGGAACACCGGCGGAGAAGGCGGCCUGCUGGACCGUAAUGGACGUGGAGGCUCGAAAGCGUGGGGAGAAAACAGGAUUAGAUACCCCAGGAGUC
rnacentral:rRNA from 1 species